CUGUGUUCCAAGUUCAUCAUUCACUCGUCACUAAUAGCUUUCUAUCUGAUCGAUUCAUCAUCAUCCGGGCAUGCAUGAGCAUCAUCGUCUCCAGAUCGUUGGGCUCUCGCAGCUACCUACAUUCAACAUUCAAGCUCGCUCUACAUAUGCAUGCAAAUCUGCAACACUCGCUCUUGGCAGGGAUACAUUCACGCCGAGAGAGAGAGAGAGAGAGAGAGAGAGAGAGAGAGAGAGAGAGAUGUGUGUGCUGUAGUCAUCAGCCAGCCGGUGAUUUCUGGAGUGGCAUCAUCAAGAUUCACACACUGCAUGCCAACAUAAUGCGCGUGUUCAUGCAUCCAUCGCCGCCGCUGCAUCAUGCAUCAUAUAUAAUAUAUAUAUAUGUGUAUGUGUGGGAAUCUUGAUGAUGCUGCAUUGGAUAUCAAGGGCUAUAUAUAUAUAUGGAUCAAGCAUAUAUAUAUAUAUAUCAGAUCACCAGUCAUAUCGAGUUCUUCCUUCCAGGCUUGCUAGAAGGCAAUAUAUAAUAAGAAAAGACUGAAAGGAAAAGGCACCACUGCCAUGAUGGAUCGCAUCAGUGCAUCUGUUUUGUUCUUCUAAACGAUUCAGGUCAUCAGGUGAGCUAGGUUGGCUAAUAAGUAUAUAGAUUAAUUUCUAUUUUGCACAUGAUUUAUAUGGUUUUGACUAAAUAGUUAUUUAGCUUACCAAGAUGUCGCCACCAUGCUCAGCUCAGCUCAGCACAGCAGGAUUUGUAUCGCUCGUAUGUGUGGCUGGGCUGCCAGAGCGUGUUCGGCCCAAUCUAAAUCCGGAUUGGCAUAGCAGGCCAAACUGGGCCAGCCAUGGAUGACCCCGACCCAUAAUUGUAUGUUUGGGCCUGGUUUGGAUCAUCGGUCAAACUGACCCAGCGGGCUGCUUGCUUCAACUCCGAUCUCCACUCUCCUCUCCUCUCCUCUCCUCUAUACAGAGAUUAGAGAGAAGAGAUCUAGGAAGGCAGACACUGCAACUAGCUAGCAGGUCCGGCAGGCCGCACGCCAUGGACGCCUCCGCCGGCAGCGUGCUCUGCAGCAGGAGCUACUCGGCCAGCGUGAGCAGAGCCUCGUCUUCCCAGCAAGCAGAAUCGUCGUCGCGGCUGUGCGUGGAGGAGCACCGGGCGGAAUGGUGAUUCAUCUGCAUGUACUACGAGCAGCAUUUGUUCGAUUUUUCCGCUGUGUUCGUACCGAGAAUAUCCAGUCACUUGUGGGUCCGAGAGAGCAUUUCGUUUGUGAGUUUUAGUGUUUACAAGGAUUAAGUGAAAACUUCACAAGUAAGUCGUAACUAUUUUCUGCAAAUAAGUUUUAUUGUCU
rnacentral:lncRNA from 1 species